rnacentral:misc_RNA from 1 species
CCGCAGGUAUGUUUUUAUUUUCUACUACUUCCUCCGUUUCAUAACGUAAGUCAUUCUAGCAUUUCCCACAUUCAUAGNGAGAUNUGAAUGUGGGAAAUGCUAGAAUGACUUACAUUAUGAAACGGAGGUAGUAGUACGUAGCUGAUGUACUGUACUA